rnacentral:lncRNA from 1 species
UGUGGCAUAUAUAUAAUUUGUGAGCAUCAAUAUUUAUAAAUUAUUAUAAAUGUAAAUUGAUGUCAAUCUAUAAAGUAGGUCAUGCAAUGUACACUCCUCAUAAGGUUAUAUUUUUGCUAAAAAAAAUCCAUCACUGACAAAAUCUUGUUGUCAUUAAAAAUAUAUUUAUUGGUUACAAAAUUUUUAGUGAUGCUAAUUGUCA